UACAGAGGGUGCGAGCGUUGUCCGGAAUCACUGGGCGUAAAGGGCGCGUAGGCGGCUCAGUAAGGUUGCGGUGAAAGCCCGGGGCUCAACCCCGGGUCGGCCGUGGCAACUGCUGGGCUGGAGCACUGUAGAGGCAGGUGGAAUUCCGGGUGUAGCGGUGGAAUGCGUAGAGAUCCGGAAGAACACCGGUGGCGAAGGCGGCCUGCUGGGUAGUAGCUGACGCUGAGGCGCGACAGCGUGGGGAGCAAACAGG
rnacentral:rRNA from 1 species